AAAGGAAAUGAUAAACUGUUUGUUUGAACCUCCUGUACCACAUAAAGGUAGGCGGGUACUGAAUGCUCUCCGCAGAAGCUGCCUUUAGUGAGAAGGAGCUUGGAUGUCACUCCGGCUCCGGCCACACUCAGGGGAUGAUGUGCGCUCCCGGACCUCGGCACGCCGUGAGGACCCGCUGGUUUUCAAUGGCUGUUGAACUACGCCCUGUCCUCUUUACAAGGUCUGUGGUGGACAGAAUGGUGGCCUGAUCUGUCAGAGUUGUGGAGUGUGACAAUGGUGUUUGUGUCUGCUGGUAUCAAACGCCAUUAUCACACUAAAUAGCUAUGACGAGAAAGGAGCGCACAGCACCAGAAAUGUCCGGAGCCCAGGAUGCUGAACACAUUAAGGCGUCUCUUCAUUUAAUAGAACACUUUUUAUGAUAAACGCCAUACAAUUUGCUGUAUUUUAUCAAUUGGGUAUCAGACUUGGUGGGGUUUGGUCAAGUCAGUGACUGGAGGCGACCGCUUUACUGUGCCAGGCAGGCAGUAUGUGUGUAUUUGGUCUCUUUUUUGUUUUUAUUAGCUUCAAUUUCUGUAUAUUCAUCUUUUUAUUCAAUCAGUUUGUAUUUUUAUUAUUUAAUUAAUUAGACUGGAUGAAUUUUUAUUUCAUAAGAAUAAAUAAUAACAAAUCGGCAACA